rnacentral:misc_RNA from 1 species
AACGCACAUUGCGCCCUUUAGUAUUCUGAAGGGCAUGCCUGUUCGAGCGUCAUUAUCACUAUUCAAGCCUGGCUUGCUGUUGGACCUCUCGUCGGUGAAAAUCGACGGGCCCUAAAGAUAAUGACGGUGUUAUUUGGACCCUAGAUGCAACGAGCUUUCAUUAGCACGCGUUUAGAUUGGACCUCUUAACCCGGUCGUUUUAUAACCAAUUUCUAAGGUUGACCUCGGAUCAGGUAGGAAUACCCGCUGAACUUAA